rnacentral:lncRNA from 1 species
AUUUUAGCAGUAUUAUUUAAAUGUUUAUGAUGUUUAUACUGCUGACAAGACCCCUUAUCCCUUCACUCCAGGAGUUAAAGUGAUUCAAUGACUUCUUUUCUUUUCGUCAGUCGGACCUCUCUAGCAACCUUUCAUGAAGGCAAACAUAACAUCUCCCACAUGUCCAUGGACAUUGCUAGGGGACUGAUGGUGACCUGUGGGACCGACCGUGUUGUAAAGGUAAGCUGGCGCGUUGUCUCAGCUUCUCAGUUUGGGCUGUUCCAUUGUCACACUGCGAAUGAGCUUCAGACAUUUCCAGACAGUUGCUGUUUCAACUGGUGAAUGUGCCUUCCCUUUGCAUAAGCAACCUACUGCCCACUUGAGACCCCAAGUGAGAAAUUGCAUGCUUGUGAUAAAUUGCUUCCCUGGUGGCAGGGAAUCUCUGGGGUUUCCCUUUGCUGUGGGAGGACGGCAAAGUGAGUUAGCCAGGCCUGGCUGCCCUUAGAUCCUGGGGUCCUGGGCUGUCCCCAGGUCUCUUCCUCCCAGUGGGCCUGGACCUUUGAUGGUGCCUGUGCCUACGCCUUCCAGGCCUUCGCAUGCUCCUUUACCUGUGGACAGAGGGCAGCCUAAUUGUAAGGGACAGCCACAUGUUUCUUCAUUAAAUCUCUGGGUCACUAACACAAAUGUUUUAUACUUAGUGUCCCGCUUGAUUUGUGAAACCGUGAAAUAUUUUAUACUCCCAGUGGGAUUUUUAAAAAAUUUAAAUGUAUAGCAAAACAUUACCGUAAUGUUAUUUUCUUAUACUGCCUAUAAGAUUCUUGCAGGUCAUAGUAAACUGCAUGUUUUAUCUCUCUGUAGAUCUUAAGAGGUUUUGUAAUGAGAGAGGAGAAUGGGAUAAUUGACUAUUUGACAACUUUUCUAGGUUAGCAGCAAUUUGUUUGUCAGCGUAGACUUGAUUCUAGCCUCAUGGUCAGUGCUGCCUUCUCCAUGUGUCUUAUUUCCCUUGUAGAUAUGGGACAUGACGCCUGUGGUGGGCUGCAGCCUGGCAACUGGGUUUUCUCCACACUGAUCCGGGAGCUGGGUGAUAUCAACACCUUACGAACAGUGGCCUCCACCAAGUGAAAUCCUUCCCAUGUAGCUCCACAGCCACUGUCACAAGCAUGGGCAGUAGCCACCUAAAAACAAAUCAACAUUUUUUAAAAGAAAAAAAUGUAAAGGUGUGUUUUUGGGCACUUGUGGAACUUGCCUGUGGGAACUAAUGUGGAAAAGGUCUGUCUGUAGUGGUUCCCUGAGGAAUGAAAUUACUUCAAUAAAAGUUCCUCAUGCACAGUGACCUCAUAGGUAAGGAAAGAGUAAUCUAGUAAAUGAGAGUUUUAGAGGGAGAAAAAAAAAAUAGAACAAAAAGUUAAUGCUUAAAUCUUCCUGAAAGCAGUCCCAAGUACAAAUACAUGUCCACUCAGACUAGCGGGCCUUCAAGGGCCCUUGAGCCUAUUGUUGGAGCAGGUGUUGGGGGUCAGGACAACCUGUAUUCCCUUUCUCCAGGUGUGCAAUAGGAACUUAGGAAACCAGAGGUCGCUCCCUGUGGCUGGCAACACAUGAAUAUUCUCUGUUUGCGGUUGCUGAUUAACUUACAGAUGUCUGUUCUCUGCAGGUAGCACUGUACUCUGUGCUUAGCAUCUAGCUCGCUUCAGUUGUUUCUCUUCCAGCCAGUAGCCAAGGGUGACUUUUGCAGUUGUUAUUGAGUUGUGAAAUUUCUCUAGUAACCAAGAUAGUCCACAUUUUUCCCUUUCCCUCAAAUGUGCUGAGGGCAUAGCUUUUUUAUGGUGCUGUUAAUAUGAGAGUCACACAAACACCCGACACUUUCUCAUUUCAGCUAGUAGUGACUAAUGAAGACCCAGCUGCCAUAUGGUGGUGAUGGGAAAGAGCAGUCUGCUUCAUGGAGCCCAGUUCUCCUUCAGACCUGUAGUCCCAAGACGAGCCCCUGCGAGAUUGUGGGAAUUUAAUAUGCUCCUCAGAAAAGCACUCCAGGGCUUGUAAGUGAGGCUGACUUUUAGUUUAACUGGUAUUAUCCAUGUCAUAGGAGGGAGUUGGUGGCCCACAGCUGUAAUGGGUGACCAUCAGGUCCUGAUCUAAAAGUAAUCCCUAACUUUUAGAUCAUCUUCACAACUGCCAAAAGCUAUUGUUUAAAAUGCAUUUUUAAAGCUUUUGACCAAGAGUACUAGAAUGAGGAAGAGGCAGGGAAUGGGAACCCAUCUUUUAAUAGUCAAAUAGUUCUCUGUGUGUUGCCUUAACAGCACGUGUAUCUUUGGUUUUGGGUUAUGGAAGUGAGUGGAGAAAGACUUACUUUUUGAAAAGACUAAUGUAAAAAUAAAUAGCAACAAUAUCUCUGUUAGUCUUACCAAUGGAUAUGGAUUAAAAAAACUUCUGCAUCACUGCAAUGGGAUCAUAUCAAGACAAUGUCAUCAUUCUGUUUGAUAACUAAAGGACUAAAUUUGCUUUAUAAACAUGGUUUAUGGGUGCAAAAAAAUUAAGACAGGCAAUGAAGCAAAGUUUUUUUAAUGGCUGUGUGACACAAAUAACUUUGGAAAGUGAAGGCAGCAGUACACCAUGUUCUGGAAUGAUCUGCAUUGGAAGCUGAAUUGUCUUGAGAAAUAAGAAUGAUCUUGUUGCUCCUUAUAAUUUUUUUGUUACAUCACCUGAAAAAGGUAUUUCUUUGAAAAACACUUCCUAGACUCUGCAAAAUGUAUAUUACUAACAUAAUGUGGAAGACAAAUUGAACAAUGGUAACUUUUUAACCACAAGGUUGAAUGUUCAACUUCAUGUAUUAACUUCAGUCAGUCAGUGGUUCACCCCAAACAGAAGUGCUUUUCUCUGGGUAUUAAGUCCUGAAAGGAGAGUAGAACAUGUUGGAGCUCUUACCCUGUGGAGCAGUGCUGCCCUUUGGCUGUGUUUUUCUUUAACUUCUGUAAAAUAUGACCUUUUAAUGUCUGUGGCAGAUAGAAGAGAAUAUCACAGCUGCUGAGAAUACACCAUAGCUUUCCAACUUUUUAUUUUAAAAAAGUCUUAAUAAACAACCCUGUGCUCCAUAGAGAGCACAGAGUUAUUUUAGGCCUUCUAAGGCAUUAAUAUGAAUCAAGGAGGAAAAUUAUAUUUAAGGAGGAAUCAGUGUGAGAUACCUUAGAAAAUUCUAGAGUGUUUAGGUAUGGUUUACUCUUUGCCUGAGCCUGUGAUCUCUUUUCAUUUAAAAAAAUGUGUUUGCCAGACUGAUCUUGUCUCUGUCACUUGUGAGGUUACAAAUGCAGUAAUAUUUUUGAUAGAGUGGGAGAAGAUUAUUUUCUCAGUGUUACUGAUUAGGCGCACAGGGAAGGUACAGAUAGCUGAUAGUUACUGCCUUAUUUUGACUGUGUUUCUCUUAAACGGGUCGCUUAAGAUAGUUCUUCGUGUAGCAGUUUACUGUUUUUUCCAUUCCUGAAUCUUCAAGCUAAUUUGUACAAAUAGGGACUAAGAAGUACAGAAAAUUAGACAAGAUCCUUAUGUUUAGAUCUAGAAUGUAUGUGAUAAGGAAAUGCCAAUUCUUCGUUAUCAGCAUAUUUUGAAAUCGUCCCUGUUUUUAAAUAAGUCUAAGUGAUAGUAAUACCUCUGUAGCAUUAGGUAGAAACAUGUUAUUAUUCACUACCUUGUAAAUCUCUGUUUAUUACGUCCUUCUUCUGUCUUGCUACCUAGAGGAUAUAAACAAAAAAAUAUUACUCUAGAACAUACCACUUUGUUCUCCCUUUUAAGGAUUCAGUUUGUUAGUAUCUAUAUUUUUUAAAGCUGUUGAAACUGACCCAAAUAUGUAAUACAAACUAUAGCAGCUCAGACUCCAGGAGAUAUUUUCUAAAAUCAAUGUUCAUUAAAGUUCUUUCUACUUCUGUUACUGAAUCUGGUGUUCUCCUGAAAAAUAAGAAACCAGUUAUUAAUGACAUCUGCUCAUUAGAUAUGUGAGGUUUAACAAAUAAGUAAUACAUGCUACGUUUAUUCAAGUGUCUAUUGCUUAAUUGUUAAUUGUGAGCAGAUUAUCGAAAGCCUCCUCUAUUUUAUGUAGUUUACAAUAACUUUGAAUAAGUUGAAGUUUAAUUGUGCAGCAAAUUUAUAUUAGAGUACAAUUUAAAGUGUUUUCCUGUAUAGCCUUUUUUGACUGGGGAAGCAGAGGGUGAUAUUAAUUAGUACUCUUUGUUCUUGUACUAGCGUUUCUAGAAGAUAUGGUGCACAGCAUAUCCCAGAGAGGCUAGAAAACUUUGUUCUCUGCUCCUAUUGUGGAUUCUGUUUUUGUGGGGUUUUUUUUUUGAGAAUAUACAUACAAUAAAAUAUUCCUUGCUUGUUACUACGCUGCUU